rnacentral:rRNA from 1 species
GACGAACCGUGCGAACGUUAUUCGGAAUCACUGGGCUUAAAGCGCGUGUAGGCGGGCCGGUACGUCGGUCGUUGAAAGCCCCCGGCUCAACCGGGGAAGCGGCGCCGAUACGACCGGCCUGGAGGGGGGUAGGGGGACCUGGAACUUCCGGUGGAGCGGUGAAAUGCGUUGAGAUCGGAAGGAACGCCCGUGGCGAAAGCGAGGUCCUGGACCCUUUCUGACGCUGAGACGCGAAAGCCAGGGGAGCGAACGGG